ensembl:lncRNA
ACCCUGGAGUGGCCGGGUCAGGACGCAUAGCCCUCCUCUUGGCGCUGCCUUCGCCCCCCACCUCCGAGUGCCCCCACUUGCCCUGGUCCCGGGGUUCCCAUGUACAGGGGGAUACGAGUUCCUCCUGGGAUCAGCGCUCUGUUCACUGCCCCCUCAAAAAAAAGCCUGGGCUCCUGGUGCGGCUGCACCCGACUCGCAGCAGCGCACCCCUCCUCUUGCUGACGCCCCAGGGCCCGGGAGAGACCGGCGACGGGGAGCGCAGGCGACGCCCGGCGCCGGGAUGCUCCAGCGUGCCUCCGGGUGCGCGGGGUGCGCAGGGGGGCCCCGGCGCCCUGCGCGGUCAGCGGUGGUGGGCAGGGGUGCCUGGCGUGCUCCGGUCGCCCGGCGCCCGCGCUACCUCGGGGAGACCUCUGCCGCCGCCCGAGCGCGCAUCCCGGCCCGGGGGCGCUCCCUGCCGGCCGCCGCGCGCACCAGCCAGGCUGAGCCCCGGCAGCAGAGCUGCGGGCGCCUCUGUCCCCCCACCCCCAGGGCGGGCCAGGCCUCCGGUGCUGCGGCUCCAUCACCCACGCCCUCGGGGCUGAGCUGCCUCACUGCGCAGGCGCGGAGGUGCGCACCUGCUCCUUUGAGACGCUCACCUGUCCUUGUUCUUACCGGCAGGAGGGGAACCAGCGCCGGGACCAUCAGCCCAUAAGGGAAAGGGCCCUUGCCAGCCACCUGCCCUUAACUCCUGGGAGCGGGCAGGGAGGGCUGCGGGAGGCUGUCCCUUCAGACCCAGACCAUGGGAGAGGGGAGCCCCACUGAGUAUGCCACACAGCAUCGACACACAAGCGCCUCCAUGCUGGAAUCUCAGAGUCCAGGAGCCUUGCAUCUCCAUAGAGCGGGGACCCCACGAGGAACCUGGCCAGGUUCAUUUAUUUCCUUGCACUAAAUUCUCAAACCCCAGCAGGGCUGGAAGGUCUAGGACCCUUAACCAGGCUGGAGAGCUUCUAGAGGCGCAGAAAGAAGCUCAGAGUCCCAGUGGAGGCAGCUGCAGGAGUUUGCUGGAAACAUCUGGAAGGAUAUCUGGUGUGAUGGGGAGGGACAGGAGCCUGCGCCUGUAUCGGCAAGAGCAGGCGAGGGGUGGCAAAGGCAGAGCCUCAGGUGGGGAGUCCCCGCCACCAGCCCAGAGCCUCGACCCUCACUCUUCUGUGGCUGCAGAGACAGCAGGUGUCCAGCCACGACAAUUGUCAGGGGCUCUAAGAAGUUGGCCAGCAUCCGCACUGCAUCCCAAGGGAAGAGAAAUGGAUGUGCACCCAGCUUUAUGUGCCAGGGUGUCCAUCACAGAACUGUGCACGAUACCAAAACACUGGGGUCAGUGCCCGUGUCCGGUCAGAGAGGAAUGAUGAGCCCCCAUGGAUGGCAGCAUGCCAAGCUUCCUUGUCCUUCAUCAUCUCCCAGAGUUGGUGAUGCCAUCCAGCCAUCUCAUCCUCUGUUAUUCUCUUCUCCUCCUGCCUUCAAUCUUUUCCAGCAUCGGGGUCUUCUUUUAAGGAGUCAGCUCUUUGCAUGAGGUGGCCAAAGUAUCGGAGCUUCAGCUUCAGCCUCAGUCCUGCCAAUUCACGUUCACUUGAUUUCCUUUAGGAUGGACGGGUAGCAGGACGCAAACCCAGCCCCACAGGUGCACACCAGCCUCCCUCUCUCUCCGUGUUUGUGGGUGCUUUCCUUUCUCAUCUGCUAGAAUUACACAAGAAGCAGGUGUGGUUCUGGUUGAAACAGACUCACCAGAUUUUACAAGAAAGAAACAAAGACCCUCCACAAAGACACAGUCCUCCCUUAAAGCAUAAAGCUUUGUGGAGGUCUCCUUGGUGACUUCUCCAGUCUGGAUGGUCUCGUUGUAUGAGACAGUCUCCGGCAGGUACCAAGAGAAAUGGGCACACAGCUCCGUCAGACUGGAAGCAAAGUGAUGGGGAGACGAGACUGCCCGGGUCCACACCGCACAGUGCGCUUGGCCCGCCAUAAAACAUAUCCAC